rnacentral:ncRNA from 1 species
AUAUUAAAUGCCAUUAAAACAAAGAAAUAAAGAUUCAAAUAUGGACUUGUUUUUAAAGUGUUUUAAUGUGAAAUUACAUAUAAAUACGUUGUAUUUUGGCGAGACGCUUGAGGGAACGGAACAAUCUGAAAACGACAGGCUGAAGUCGUCCUCUUAAGCAAGCGAGCCAACAAUAAUACGCCGCAGUAUUGAAUAAUAAAGAAGCAC